UACGGAGGAUCCGAGCGUUAUCCGGAUUUAUUGGGUUUAAAGGGUGCGUAGGCGGCCUUUUAAGUCAGCGGUGAAAGUCUGUGGCUCAACCAUAGAAUUGCCGUUGAAACUGGGGGGCUUGAGUAUGUUUGAGGCAGGCGGAAUGCGUGGUGUAGCGGUGAAAUGCUUAGAUAUCACGCAGAACCCCGAUUGCGAAGGCAGCCUGCCAAGCCAUGACUGACGCUGAUGCACGAAAGCGUGGGGAUCAAACAGGAUUAGAUACCCUGGUAGUCCACGCAGUAAACGAUGAUCACUAGCUGUUUGCGAUACAGUGUAAGCGGCACAGCGAAAGCGUUAAGUGAUCCACCUGGGGAGUACGCCGGCAACGGUGAAACUCAAAGGAAUUGACGGGGGCCCGCACAAGCGGAGGAACAUGUGGUUUAAUUCGAUGAUACGCGAGGAACCUUACCCGGGCUUAAAUUGCACUCGAAUGAUCCGGAAACGGUUCAGCUAGCAAUAGCGAGUGUGAAGGUGCUGCAUGGUUGUCGUCAGCUCGUGCCGUGAGGUGUCGGCUUAAGUGCCAUAACGAGCGCAACCCUUGCCACUAGUUACUAACAGGUAAAGCUGAGGACUCUGGUGGGACUGCCAGCGUAAGCUGCGAGGAAGGCGGGGAUGACGUCAAAUCAGCACGGCCCUUACAUCCGGGGCGACACACGUGUUACAAUGGCGUGGACAAAGGGAAGCCACCUGGCGACAGGGAGCGAAUCCCCAAACCACGUCUCAGUUCGGAUCGGAGUCUGCAACCCGACUCCGUGAAGCUGGAUUCGCUAGUAAUCGCGCAUCAGCCAUGGCGCGGUGAAUACGUU
rnacentral:rRNA from 1 species